GCCGUGAACAAGAUGAGGCUUGAUAGUCCCACUGUCCUCCUCCGAGAAACAGAUGAUCUCAGCAAGUUCUGUCACAGCUGUGGGAUGGAGGAGAGCGAUGACCCUAAUUGGAUCCGCUGUGACAUCUGUGACAGGUGGUUUCACCACGAGUGUGUCCUGAGGCCAGAUCUUGAUGGGGAUUACCUGUGCCUUGCAUGUGUAUGAUGAUUGUCUUUG